UAGUCUUACUACAACUUGACAUGACAAGGC
rnacentral:piRNA from 1 species